UGCACAAUUGAUAAGGAUAAA
ensembl:piRNA 21ur-201 ncRNA